UAUGUUUCUAUGUUUCUAUGGUCCAUGCGAACAAGAUGGCCGCCACCUUGUGGUCGUCUAUAGGAAUUGCCGCCACCCAGAUGAACACUUAGACCACUGCGGUGAGGCGUACUCCCAUCAUCCUCCACGCAGUCUGUGAGGCGUAUUCCCAUCGUCCUCCACGCAGUCGGUGAGGCGUACUCCCAUCGUCCUCCACGCAGUCGGUGAGGCGCACUCCCAUCGUCCUCCAC